ensembl:snoRNA
UUGGCCCUGAAUCAAAGGCCAGCAGUUUGUUGAAGCUGUUGGUUUCAAGCAAGAGCCUAAAGAAAUGUCUUUCUAUGGUCUGUUGGCCAUUUCAGAAUUUUGGAAAUGUAAUGGUAAGUUCAUUAGAAAGGAAUAUCU